rnacentral:rRNA from 1 species
GACGUAGGGCGCGAGCGUUGUCCGGAUUUAUUGGGCGUAAAGAGCUCGUAGGCGGCUUGUCGCGUCGUUCGUGAAAACCCGGGGCUCAACUCCGGGCUUGCGGGCGAUACGGGCAGACUAGAGUGCGGUAGGGGAGACUGGAAUUCCUGGUGUAGCGGUGAAAUGCGCAGAUAUCAGGAGGAACACCGGUGGCGAAGGCGGGUCUCUGGGCCGUAACUGACGCUGAGGAGCGAAAGCAUGGGGAGCGAACAGG